GAUGAACGCUGGCGGCGUGCCUAAUACAUGCAAGUCGAGCGAACAGACGAGGAGCUUGCUCCUCUGACGUUAGCGGCGGACGGGUGAGUAACACGUGGAUAACCUACCUAUAAGACUGGGAUAACUUCGGGAAACCGGAGCUAAUACCGGAUAAUAUAUUGAACCGCAUGGUUCAAUAGUGAAAGACGGUUUUGCUGUCACUUAUAGAUGGAUCCGCGCCGCAUUAGCUAGUUGGUAAGGUAACGGCUUACCAAGGCAACGAUGCGUAGCCGACCUGAGAGGGUGAUCGGCCACACUGGAACUGAGACACGGUCCAGACUCCUACGGGAGGCAGCAGUAGGGAAUCUUCCGCAAUGGGCGAAAGCUUGACGGAGCAACGCCGCGUGAGUGAUGAAGGUCUUCGGAUCGUAAAACUCUGUUAUUAGGGAAGAACAAAUCUGUAAGUAACUAUGCACGUCUUGACGGUACCUAAUCAGAAAGCCACGGCUAACUACGUG
rnacentral:rRNA from 1 species